CGAAGACGAAAGCCGCCCUCUGCUCGAGCGUGAGGAAGGAGGCGGAGGAAGAGGAUGAGGGGAAGUCUGAUUCAGAGGCCGAGAAGGCCAAAUGUCAAACUGUGAGGAAAUCUACUGCAACUGGUAACGUUUAGAAAUGAGAAGUCAACGCAGGAACUAAAUGCAGGACUGAACAAGCAGGAGGUCAGUGCAGAAUACUAAUGAACUUCAUGUCACAAAAACAAAAGCUGAGGCGCUGCCAAAGGAGCGAGCCGGCCGACAGAAAACAUGCAACAUGAAGUUAGACGCCUGCAGACAAACAGGGCUGUGCAGCCAGAAAGAGAGGAUUUUAAAAACCGCUGAACGAGGAACCAGCAGGAUAAAGGAGCGACAUCGAGGAGUGGUGAAGGAAGACGCCUCACAUGGGGGAAAGAAAAGAAAUUCAGAUAAAGAAACUGAAAUCAAGAGCUAGAAACUGAUCAGAGCAAAAAGAAAAUCCAAACUCUUCCUGAAGACAUGAAGAAAAACAGCAGAAUUUCCCACUGACUUUAGAAGGCCUCUGAAUA